rnacentral:rRNA from 1 species
CACGUAGGGCGCAAGCGUUGUCCGGAAUUAUUGGGCGUAAAGAGCUCGUAGGCGGUCUGUUACGUCUGCUGUGAAAAUCCGGGGCUUAACCCUGGGCUUGCAGUGGAUACGGGUAGACUAGAGGCAGGCAGGGGAGAAUGGAAUUCCCGGCGUAGCGGUGAAAUGCGCAGAUAUCGGGAGGAACACCGGUGGCGAAGGCGGUUCUCUGGGCCUGACCUGACGCUGAGGAGCGAAAGCGUGGGGAGCGAACAGG